AGAGAGAGAAGUAGGGAGAGAGAGAGAGAAGUAGGGAGAGAGAGAAGUAGGGAGAGAGAGAGAGAGAAGUAGGGAGAGACAGAGAGAGAAGUAGGGAGAGAGAGAAGUAGGGAGAGACAGAGAGAAGUAGGGAGAGAUAGAGAGAAGUAGGGAGAGAGAGAGAGAGAAGUAGGGAGAGAGAGAGAAGUAGGGAGAGAGAGAGAGAGAAGUAGGGAGAGAGAGAGAGAAGUAGGGAGAGAGAGAGAGAAGUAGGGAGAGAGAGAGAGAGAAGUAGGGAGAGAGAGAGAGAGAAGUAGGGAGAGAGAGAGAGAGAAGUAGGGAGAGAGAGAGAGAAGUAGGGAGAGAGAGAGAGAGAAGUAGGGAGAGAGAGAGAGAAGUAGGGAGAGAGAGAGAGAAGUAGGGAGAGACAGAGAGAGAAGUAGGGAGAGACAGAGAGAGAAGUAGGGAGAGAGAGAGAGAGAAGUAGGGAGAGACAGAGAGAGAAGUAGGGAGAGACAGAGAGAGAAGUAGGGAGAGAGAGAGAGAAAAGUAGGGAGAGAGAGAGAGAAGGAGAGAGAGAGAGAAGUAGGGAGAGACAGAGAGAAGUAGGGAGAGAGAGAGAGAAGUAGGGAGAGACAGAGAGAGAAGUAGGGAGAGAGAGAGAGAAGUAGGGAGAGAGAGAGAAAGAAGUAGGGAGAGAGAGAGAGAAGUAGGGAGAGAGAGAGAGAGAA
rnacentral:lncRNA from 1 species